rnacentral:rRNA from 1 species
AACGAACGCUGGCGGCGUGGCUUAGGCAUGCAAGUCGAACGCGAAAGGGCCGCAAGGCCCAAGUAGAGUGGCGUAAGGGUGAGUAAUGCUCGGGCAAGUUACCCCUAGGACCGGGAUAGCCUCUGGAAACGGAGGGUAAGACCGGAUGGGCUCACGUCGGCUGCGGCCGACGGGAGUAAAGGUGGGGAUCGAAAGACCUACUGCCCAGGGAGACGCUCGAGUCCUACCAGCUAGUUGGUGAGGUAACGGCUCACUAAGGCGAAGACGGGUAGCCGGACUGAGAGGUUGACCGGCCACACUGGCACUGAGACACUGGCCAGACUCCUACGGGAGGCUGCAGUCGAGAAUCUUCCGCAAUGGACGCAAGUCUGACGGAGCGACGCCGCGUGGAGGAAGAAGGCCUUCGGGUUGUAAACUCCUGUCAGGGUUUAAGAAUGCGGCGGUGAACAAUCCGUCCCGUGACGAAGGACCCAAAGGAAGCCACAGCUAACUUCGUGCCAGCAGCUGCGGUAAUACGAAGGUGGCGAGCGUUGUUCGGAUUCACUGGGCAUAAAGGGCGCGUAGGCGGUUCCGCAAGCAGUACGUGAAAUCCCACGGCUCAACCGUGGAAUUGCGUGCUGGACUGCGGUUCUCGAGGGCGGGAGGGGGCUGCGGAACUCUAGGUGUAGCGGUGAAAAUGCGUAGAU